UACGUAGGGUGCAAGCGUUGUCCGGAAUUAUUGGGCGUAAAGAGCUCGUAGGCGGUCUGUCGCGUCUGCUGUGAAAACUCGGGGCUUAACCCCGGGCCUGCAGUGGGUACGGGCAGACUAGAGUGCGGUAGGGGAGACUGGAAUUCCUGGUGCAGCGGUGAAAUGCGCAGAUAUCAGGAGGAACACCGGUGGCGAAGGCGGGUCUCUGGGCCGUAACUGACGCUGAGGAGCGAAAGCGUGGGGAGCGAACAGG
rnacentral:rRNA from 1 species